AGUUGGAUAUCGGUUCCAAGGAACAUGGGAGACUGGAACUUUGCAGGCAGUGUUGGAGUCAUCUGCAGUUGAUUAGAAGUCUCCGGGGACAAACAGACUAGGAGGAGAAGGUUCCAUCUCCCACAGAGGUGUCCAUGGGAUGUGUUUCGUGCCUUCUGGGAUGAUGUCAAGGAGGAACACUUCAUCUUAGAAAAAUAAACAUCAAUGUAACAGGUGCAACAGGAGUGACAGAGAGAAGCAGGCUUCAUCAGAAUCUCUGCCUGGCCCCAUCUGGCUCAGCACACAGAUUCCAGCCAAGAGUGCUUCACUAAAGAGGCGAUUAUCCUGACUGCGUGAGGCAAAGGUGCUUCAGGUUUGAAAGUGCUCUUGAAAAGGCGUCAAGUCAACUUGGGAGUAGCGUGGAGUUUAUCUCCAGCAUUCUUCCUGCUCGGACAAGAAUACAGUAUCAUUAUCUAAACACAAGCCAAAUGUAAGUG